rnacentral:misc_RNA from 1 species
ACUCUUCAACCCACCGGUUCCUUGUUGAACUGCUCGUGGUGUUUGGAUUUUGAACGCUGCUAGUCGAAAGACUGUUAGCUCGUUCGUAAUACAUUAGCAUCUCAAUUUCGUUAAUCGGAUUGACUCAGCGUAAUAGACUAUUCGCUGAGGACACCAGCUUUACUGUUGGUGGCCGAGAAUUGAAAAAGUUAGAAGCUUCCAAUCCCUCUAGUCACCUUUAG